UCAAUCUCUAUAUGUUUGGUCCGAUCAUGUUGAACUGUGUCAUGAACUAUAUUGAUAACAUUUUUGUUGUCGCAAAAUAAGGACAAAUUGUUUAUUUCUGAUAAUCGUAUUUCCUCCAUCAAUUUUCGCAACCACAAUAGCUCACAUAUAUCCUAUGCCAUAGCUCUAUAUCCUGCCUCUGCACUAGAUCACGCUGUUACAUAAUGCUUUUUACUUCUCUAAGUGACUAAAUUGCCAUCAACAAAAAUGCAAUAACCUGAUUUUGAUCUCUUAUUAUCAAGAGAUCUAGCCCCAUUUGCAUAUGUAAACGCUUUUAUUUGGAGAUGGCCAUGCUUUGAAAAAAGA
rnacentral:misc_RNA from 1 species